rnacentral:misc_RNA from 1 species
UAAGAUUAAGAUUGAUUUAAGAUAAAUUGGAAAUAUUUCAGAGGAAAAAAUGUCGAAAGUCUCGGGUUCGUUCAGAGCAAAAAACGAGAACGUCCCCACCCUCUCUUCUCUCCCAAGCACGGCUAAACGAGGAUACCUCUGGAAACUCUCCGGUCGUUCAAUUCUCCACAAAAGUCAAUGGAAACGAAAACUCUUCGUCCUGUGGAAAAGUCGUCUUUACUUCUACCAGGGCGAGGGUGGUGGAGGGGAUGAGAGGGGGGCGGGAACUAUAAAUCUCAAAUACUUCUCCUCGUGUGUGGAGGCCCCCCUUACGGAUCACAAGAAGGCAACCAACGUCUUCAUCCUGCUCGCCAUGGAGAAGGGGUUUCUUGAUCAGGGUCGGUGUUACUUGUCCGCUGAAACUCUGGGAGAAAUGCGUGACUGGGUUUCAGCACUUAAAUCUGCACUUGACAAGCUUCAUAGGAACAGAUAUUCCGUCCCAGAUAUACCAGAGGAAAAAUUGUGUAAAUCCUCCAGUCUCUCAUCAUUACCUAGUCAGAAAUCAGAUAAAUCAGAGAUAGUCAGGGAAACGAACACUAAAGAUCGUCUGAACAAGUCCCUGGACGAAAGACCAGCUGUGUGUGAUGUCUCCUUGGAUCGGACCUAUGCAUAUUCGUCCUCAGAGGAGUCCCUAAACCAGUCCUUCUCAGCUCCAGUCCCUCUCCGAAACACAGGCUCUGUGUACUCUGCCAUGACUAGAAGAUCAAUUAACUUCGGAGGAAGACGACCUAGCGGUCAAUUGCUCAGCUUAUCAAAACAAAACGACGACAUUUUAUCCCCAACACUACAAAGAUACAAAGACGAUCAAUUCAAUAGUCUUCCCAAGCGUCAAGAACCAAAACUAACGAAUGUACCGAGAAAUAACGAUCUGUUUCACAGUUUGCCAAAGCGUAAAGAGGAUUUGAACGAGCAGAGAAAUGAACAAAAUAAACAUCAUGAAAGUAAUAGACAUAUCACACAAGAUAAUAGAUAUAACGGACAAGAGAAUAGACCUAUCACGGGUAGUUUACGUUUAGCAGAGGAUGAAAGUGAUGAGGAUCAGUAUCAUAGUCUUCCGGUCAGACGAGGGGAUGAGAUUCGAACUAAUGGACAUGAACUUGAGAAAAGUACAUCCUUCAGUUCUUUCCGUGAGAGUCCUUGCCAUAGUGUGAAGGGAUCAAGACGACAUCUCAAAUUCCAGGAUUCAGAAUCGCAACCCUCAAGACAGGGAUCCAGGCUUUGUAGUCGGGAAGGAAGCAGUAGUAAUAUUAGUAUGAGCACCAUAACAACUUCUCACCAGGAUGUAGAAUUAGAGAAAGCAACAUCAGGCUAUAACAACAAAAACAACAAUUCCACAACAAACAACAACAACAUGAGUGCUGGUAGUAGUGAUAUGGAGAAGAAAAUGAUGUUGUUAACAGGACAGGUUGAUGAACUUAGACGACUGUACCGCCAUCUUGAUUCUGAAACUAACUCUACCCGGCGUGAUGUCGGGAGCGUGCACGAGUCCCUGGCAACGAUGAACUCUACAGCGCGAGGGAUUGAGGAGAAGAUCAUGAGGUUCCAGGCGAACAUGUCGGGCAUAGAGAGGAUGUCAAGCUCACUUAUGAUGGAAAUACGAUCAACACAUGAUAGAGUGCUCAGGACGCUAGAAGAUGCAGAUAGAGCAAAAAGAGAAUAUCUAAAUUUGAAACAGAAAGCAGAAAUGUUAAUCCUCCAAAUACAGGGCGACGCUGUUGCCCUAAAUCUACCAAGCCAACAGCUGACCCAACCCUCUCUAUUCACCUUCGGAGCUCAGGAUUCUGGAAACCAGACAUUUCCGAAACUCAAGGCGGGCAAUGGAACUAGCUCCGCCCAGUCUGUCUUACCCUCUCCAAUAUCAAAGGGGCGGGCAACUAGAGAGGGGAAGGUGCAUUUCUGUCAGGAUCCAACACAUUCGAACGAUUCUCUUUAUGAAAAGCCCUCCGGACCCCUCUACUCCACACCAAACAAAGCAUACAAAGAUAACAACUAUUUGUAAAUAUUUGUAUUGAAUUUUUUAAUCUUUGUAUUUUUAACAUUGCAAUUCGUGGUUUUUCUAAACUUAUUCUUAUCAUCAUGGAUCAUAGUUAUUUUAAAUUUUUAUUUUUAUUUUUACUGAAGAUUUUUGAAAUUAAGAUAAUAAUUAUAAAUUAUGAUCCAGAGAAACAUUUGCUUUAAUUCAUGAUACCGAAGCUCAGGACAAAAUUCUCUCAAAAUGAUCAUUCUGACAAAAUUAACAAUUUUAAAUUUAAAGAGAUAUAAUUAUAAAUGAUUCAUGAUCCUCACAAGAAGAAUUUUAAUGAGCCAUAAUUCUUAAAAAAAAAUCAUUUUUUUUCGAAAAAUCUCUUUUAAUAAAUUUUUAAAUUUAAUAAAAAUUCUUCUUCUAAUUUAUUUUUCGGAUUUUUAUCUCACUCUGAUCUUGCCAGAAUAUAUUUUUUCCAUAAAACGUGCUGGGUUGACUCUAAUUAGUCAGGAUUAGAAAGUACAACUAAAUGUAUAUACAGUUACAUGUUGUACUGGCUUGGACUAUGCAACUAUUAGAGUGGGGUCUUCUUUCAAAAAGUAUUUUCAUGAAUGUAUAAGAUCCUGAAGGAGCAUGAACAACCAUGAAUAUUUUUGACCAUUGCAACCGGUUUAGUUCCUAUAUUUGAUAAUCUCUUGUUUAAUCUUUAAUUCCCUCGCCAUCUCAGAUAUACAGCUAGGGUAGGGCUGGGCAUUCAAGCAUACAGGGGUGUAUAUUUGCCUGAAAAAAACUCCCCACCCUCUUUUUGAAAAUCAUUAUUUUUCCCACAGAAGUUAUCAAUGUUUUAGCUGAAUUUUUUUAAGGUUGUUAUUUUCUGAAUUGGGGAAUAUAAAUGAUUUUAAGAAGAAGUAAAAAAAUUAUGCAAAAAGUAUGAAAAGGGAUGAAACAACUUGCCUUUAAUCUAUUCACCAUAUCUUCAAAAAUCAGAACCCCCCCCCCUUAAUUAUUAGAAUAUACACCCCUGGAAAAUUAUUUUGUCAUUAGAAGGUUGUCAGAAUUGUGCUCAUAUUACACACGAUAAACAGUAAGAUGAUUUUGUUUGCUCUUUCUUUUAUUACAGUGCCUCUAAAGCGUUAGUAAGGAAUUGAGUCAAUUUAAAUUUUUCUAAUCCGUAAAAGUGUCCAACCUGAUGGUGUAAACAUUUGAUAUUUCGUAAUAAAUAAUUUGACAUAACAGGAUUCAUAGUUUGAAACAUCAAGGUCUACGACAUUGGGUUGCUAAGACAAAGGGAAAAGAAAUUUUUGGUGAAGACACAAUUCCUUCAAAGCUCUGUUGUGUGCCUUGAGAUCAAAACUUUUGUGUUGUGAAGCUCUGGGUCAACUAUUGAUCUUAAUCUUGUGUAGAACUACGGCUUAAUCUUAUGUAGAACUACGGCUUAAUCUUGUGUAGAAUUACGGCUUAAUCUUGUUUAGAAUUACGGCUUAAUCUUGUGUAGAACUACGGCUUAAUCUUGUGUAGAACUACGGCUUAAUUAAAUAUCUCUUGGAUAUCCCGUGGUGAUUGUACCCGGCAGAGAUAACUAGAAGAACUUAUCUUUCAAAUUUAAAUGUUUUCACAGUGGAUAUCAAGAUCAAGAGUUCAAAAUUAACGAUGCUUUUCAACACAAAAUUUGCGACCUCAGAACAUUUUCCAAAAUUAAUUUCAGUUUUUAUCAAAACAGAAUAUUUAUCAGCAAUUUAAAAUUUCAGUAGAAAAUCAUUCCAUUUGAUGGUUGUCCACUAUAUUUUGGUUAUCACUAGAUUAUUGUUUCAAAUUCUAAUCAACCCAAUUUACACUAUUAAAAGAGAAUACCUUACAUUUUAUUUGUAAUGUAGGCUGAGCUAUUAGUUUUUGUGAGAUAAACCUAAUAUUCUGUUAAUAAUUUCGAUCUAAAUGUUUACAAAUUCAUAAUGUUUUUGUAAGAUCUAUAUUACACAAAAUGAUAUGGUGUUCCAUCAGUGAAGGGAUGAAAGUAAAACGCCAAAAAUAUUAAAUUACGCUUCUAUUAAUCUCAAAUAUUUUGUGAUUUCUUUUAAUACACACAGGGUGUCUAAACCUUUAUAUAUUUUAUUGUACUCAAGUCAAACUUUAGUUAUGUUUCAUUGUUUAUGUUGUUUUAUAACUUUAAAAUCGUAAAUACAGGGUGUCUCUGAAAAAAGUGCGUUUAGCUUUUUAGUCAUUAUUAGGUAAUGUGUACUUAGAAGGUGUAAUGCACAUAAAAGGGAGGUUGUCGAUGAAAAAUGUUUUAGCGACGACCCCCCCCCCCUUUUGGGGGCAUUUUACAAUGGAGAGACACGUUUUUGGACAAUCAAACGACGUUUGGUAGGCUAAAUAGCCAAAACGCACUUUUUUUCAGGUCCAACCUAUAUUCACUAUUAAGUCUUCUAAUGCAGUCGUAAUAUCUUUUGAAUCAAGCAUUAAAUCCCCUUUUAUGGGUUUACUCGCACAAUUGACAUCAUAAGAUUGGCCAAUUGUAUAUUUUUAAGGGAAACCCAUGGAAAAUAUUGUUUUUCCCAGUUUUGAUGAUUGCAGGUGUUUGAUAAAGUA